rnacentral:tRNA from 2 species
CGCGGGGUGGGGCAGCCGGUCAGCCCGCGAGGCUCAUAACCUCGAGGUCGCAGGUUCGAAUCCUGCCCCCGCAA